AUUGAACGCUGGCGGCAGGCCUAACACAUGCAAGUCGAACGGCAGCACAGAGAGCUUGCUCUCGGGUGACGAGUGGCGGACGGGUGAGUAACGUCUGGGAAACUGCCCGAUGGAGGGGGAUAACUACUGGAAACGGUAGCUAAUACCGCAUAACGUCGCAAGACCAAAGUGGGGGACCUUCGGGCCUCACACCAUCGGAUGUGCCCAGAUGGGAUUAGCUAGUAGGUGGGGUAAUGGCUCACCUAGGCGACGAUCCCUAGCUGGUCUGAGAGGAUGACCAGCCACACUGGAACUGAGACACGGUCCAGACUCCUACGGGAGGCAGCAGUGGGGAAUAUUGCACAAUGGGCGCAAGCCUGAUGCAGCCAUGCCGCGUGUAUGAAGAAGGCCUUCGGGUUGUAAAGUACUUUCAGCGGGGAGGAAGGCGGUGAAGUUAAUAGCUUCACCGAUUGACGUUACCCGCAGAAGAAGCACCGGCUAACUCCGUACCAGCCGCCGCGGUAA
rnacentral:rRNA from 1 species